rnacentral:rRNA from 1 species
GGAUGAGGUGUGGGUAGGGGUGAAAUGCCAAUCGAACCUGGAGAUAGCUGGUUCUCUCCGAAAUAGCUUUAGGGCUAGCCUCAAGGUAAGAGUCUCGGAGGUAGAGCACUGAUUGGACUAGGGGCCCUACCGGGUUACCGAAUUCAGUCAAACUCCGAAUGCCGAUGACUUAUCCUUGGGAGUCAGACUGCGAGUGAUAAGAUCCGUAGUCGAAAGGGAAACAGCCCAGACCGCCAGCUAAGGUCCCAAAG